GAAUUUUGCCACAAGAAGAUGGUUCUACCUGCCUCUGGGCUGCAUGAUGCUGAUAAAUCUGAUUAACGCGGAUUUUGAAUUUCAAAAGGGGGUGCUUGCCAGCAACAGCCCAGGGAUCAUGGAAGACAUUGAUCUCCAGUGCUGGAAUGCUUGCUCUUUGACACUGAUAGAUCUCAAGGAAAUCAAGAUAGAGCACACUGUGGAUUCUUUCUGGAGUUUCAUGUUGUUCCUGCAAAAAUCCCAGCAGCCUAGACAUUAUAAUGUCUUCUUAAGCAUAGCUCAGGAUUUCUGGGACAUGUAUGUAGACUGCUUGCUUUCAAGAUCCCAUGGAAUGGGCAGAAGACAGGUGAUGCCUCCCAAGUAUAAUUUUCCACAGAAGAUAACGGGAGGACUGGAUUUUACAAAACAUGAGUUUUACAUUUAAGAGCACACAGAAAAUACCUCAAGCAAGAUGACACCAACCUGAAAAUUUAACCCUGUGAUCCUAUCCAGGACACCACUUACAAUGAGUUAGGCUCUAAGAAGAUGUUUUUGAUGACCUUGACACUUCCCGAUGCUGGUCAGUUGUAUUGCAGAAUGUCCCUCAAUUUGGGUUUGCCUAAUGCUUUUCUCAUGGUUAGACUGGGGUCAUAGGUUUUUUGGG